rnacentral:rRNA from 1 species
GAUGAACGCUGGCGGCGUGCUUAACACAUGCAAGUCGAACGAUGAAGCCCAGCUUGCUGGGUGGAUUAGUGGCGAACGGGUGAGUAACACGUGAGUAACCUGCCCUUAACUCUGGGAUAAGCCUGGGAAACUGGGUCUAAUACCGGAUAGGAGCGUCCACCGCAUGGUGGGUGUUGGAAAGAUUUAUCGGUUUUGGAUGGACUCGCGGCCUAUCAACUUGUUGGUGAGGUAAUGGCUCACCAAGGCGACGACGGGUAGCCGGCCUGAGAGGGUGACCGGCCACACUGGGACUGAGACACGGCCCAGACUCCUACGGGAGGCAGCAGUGGGGAAUAUUGCACAAUGGGCGCAAGCCUGAUGCAGCGACGCCGCGUGAGGGAUGACGGCCUUCGGGUUGUAAACCUCUUUCAGUAGGGAAGAAGCGAAAGUGACGGUACCUGCAGAAGAAGCACCGGCUAACUACGUG